rnacentral:tRNA from 1 species
GCUUGGAUGGCUCAGCUGGUUAGAGCGCAGGUCUCAUACGAUAGUAUGACCACCCACGGUGGGCAAUCCUGAGGUCGUGAGUUCGAUCCUCACUCCGAGCA